UACGGAGGGAGCUAGCGUUGUUCGGAGUUACUGGGCGUAAAGCGCGCGCAGGCGGCGGUGCUGGCCCGGCGUGAAAGCCCCCGGCUCAACCGGGGAGAGUCGUCGGGGACCGCACCGCUUGAGGGCGGUAGGGGCUGGUGGAAUGCCUGGUGUAGUGGUGAAAUGCGUAGAGAUCAGGCAGAACACCUGGGGCGAAGGCGGCCAGCUGGGCCGUCCCUGACGCUGAGGCGCGAAGGCGUGGGGAGCGAACGGG
rnacentral:rRNA from 1 species